GGACCCGUAGCUCAGCUGGAUAGAGCGUCGCCCUCCGAAGGCGAAGGUCGAAGGUUCGAAUCCUUUCGGGUCCGCCA
rnacentral:tRNA from 29 species